GGCAGCUGCUCAUGAGGCGGGGUGUGGGGGAGGAGGAGGAAGGGUUCUGGAGUGGCUUUUCUACUCCAGAAGUCUCCCCGAUCCUGAAAGAAAAUCUAGACAGGUGGAAAAAAGAGAAACAUGUCCAGAUAGUGUCUUCCACAUUAAUGGUCUCCCAAGCUCUGAGGAAGCCCAAUGAGUUGAACAAUUUCUCAUAAGCUUGGGGGUCCCUGUCAGUGCUUCUGAGAUGCUAAAAACGCCAGGCUGUGGGCUGCGUCACCAUGUGUCUCCUCUUUAAUUUUUUCAGGAGCUCCAGGUGAUAAGCUGCCACCUCCGUCCAUAACGUGGACAUCAGAGGAUGCAGCAUGCUGUGGCUUGAAUGUGUCCCUACAGUGCACGUGUUGGAAACUUAAUCCCAACGCAGCAGUGAUGAGAGCAAGAAGGCCCUCGCCAGAUGGGGGCCCCUGGACCUUUGAUGUCCCAGCCUCCAGAACUAACAGAAGAGGGUGACAGAAGAACGAUUAUUCAUAUGAGAGAUGAGGAAGAUGAGUAGAACGAGGUGAAUCUUAAUGUUUGGACAAUUUAUUAU